rnacentral:rRNA from 1 species
GUCUGACCUCGGAUCAGGUGGGAUUACCCGCUGAACUUAAGCAUAUCAAUAAGCGGAGGAAAAGAAACUAACAAGGAUUCCCCUAGUAACGGCGAGUGAAGCGGGAUGAGCUCAAAUUUAAAAUCUGGUAGUCUUUGGCUGCCCGAGUUGUAAUCUAGAGAAGUGUUUUCUGUGCU